rnacentral:rRNA from 1 species
UACGUAGGUGGCAAGCGUUGUCCGGAUUUACUGGGUGUAAAGGGCGUGUAGCCGGGGGGACAAGUCAGAUGUGAAAUCUAUGGGCUCAACCCAUAAAUUGCAUUUGAAACUGUUCUUCUUGAGUACUGGAGAGGCAGACGGAAUUCCUAGUGUAGCGGUGAAAUGCGUAGAUAUUAGGAGGAACACCAGUGGCGAAGGCGGUCUGCUGGACAGCAACUGACGGUGAGGCGCGAAAGCGUGGGGAGCAAACAGG